rnacentral:misc_RNA from 1 species
GAAGAAGAAGCAGGAAGGAUAAAAGAUUGCUGGGACAACCAGGAAGCACCUGCUCUCUCCACGUGUAGUAAUGCCAAUA